rnacentral:rRNA from 1 species
GCUCGAGUGGCGAACGGGUGAGUAACACGGGAGUAACCUGCCCUUGACUUUGGGAUAACUUCAGGAAACUGGGGCUAAUACCGGAUAGGAGCUCCUGCUGCAUGGUGGGGGCUGGAAAGUUUCGGCGGUUGGGGAUGGACUCGCGGCUUAUCAGCUUGUUGGUGGGGUAGUGGCUUACCAAGGCUUUGACGGGUAGCCGGCCUGAGAGGGUGACCGGCCACAUUGGGACUGAGAUACGGCCCAG